rnacentral:rRNA from 1 species
CCUACGGGUGGCAGCAGUGGGGGAUACUGCACAAUGGGGGGAACCCUGAUGCAGCGACGCCGCGUGGGUGAAGAAGCGCCUCGGCGCGUAAAGCCCUGUCAGCAGGGAAGAAAAUGACGGUACCUGAAGAAGAAGCCCCGGCUAACUACGUGCCAGCAGCCUCGGUACUACGUAGGGGGCAAGCGUUAGCCGGAUGUACGGGGUGUAACGGGGGCGUAGACGGCCAUGCAAGCCAGGGGUGAAAGCCCGGGGCACAACCCCGGGACUGCCCUUGGAACUGCAUGGCUGGAGUGCGGGAGGGGCAGGCGGAAUUCCUGGUGUAGCGGUGAAAUGCGUAGAUAUCAGGAGGAACACCGGCGGCGAAGGCGGCCUGCUGGACCGCGACUGACGUUGAGGCUCGAAAGCGUGGGGAGCGAACAGGAUUAGAUACCCUUGUAGUC